rnacentral:rRNA from 1 species
AUUGAACGCUGGCGGCAGGCCUAACACAUGCAAGUCGAACGGUAACAGGAAGAAGCUUGCUUCUUUGCUGACGAGUGGCGGACGGGUGAGUAAUGUCUGGGAAACUGCCUGAUGGAGGGGGAUAACUACUGGAAACGGUAGCUAAUACCGCAUAAUGUCGCAAGACCAAAGAGGGGGACCUUCGGGCCUCUUGCCAUCGGAUGUGCCCAGAUGGGAUUAGCUAGUAGGUGGGUAACGGCUCACCUAGGCGACGAUCCCUAGCUGGUCUGAGAGGAUGACCAGCCACACUGGAACUGAGACACGGUCCAGACUCCUACGGGAGGCAGCAGUGGGGAAUAUUGCACAAUGGGCGCAAGCCUGAUGCAGCUAUGCCGCGUGUAUGAAGAAGGCCUUCGGGUUGUAAAGUACUUUCAGCGGGGAGGAAGGGAGUAAAGUUAAUACCUUUGCUCAUUGACGUUACCCGCAGAAGAAGCACCGGCUAACUCCGUG